rnacentral:misc_RNA from 1 species
UGUCAAGGCUCUAUUGUCCUGGUGGAUUGUGGGUUUCCUGUGUUGCAUUCCUAAUCAAUGGCAUUGUCUUGGUUGAUUGUGGUCCCUUUUCUUCUAGUGUCAUGCCCAUGACACUUGAUGAACCAUGAAGCGGUUUCUUUGGUCCACCUUGUCAAUAUUAUGUUGAUUUUGUGGUAUAUUGAGUGUCGCUUGGUUUCUUGGAUACAGAACAUAAUGUGAGCAUGGGGUCUCAUGGGUCCUUGUUUCAUUUUCACUCAGCAUGAGCGCAUCCCUUAAAAGGAUUGCCUCGCCCAGAAUGGCAUGUUCCCCYGGGGUGGUAUGAUUUUGGGAAAUGCUCCCUGUUUGAUUUGUGCUUGGUUUCCUUGUUUCGUUUUCACUCAGCUUGAGUGCUUCUCUUAAAAGGAUUGCCUCGCCCAGAAUGGCAUGUUCCCCUGGGGUGGUAUGAUUUUGGGAAAUGCUCCCUGUUUGAUGCGUGCAUGGUGUCUCAUGUGAUCCUUAAAUUGCUCUAAUUUAGCUUUUGUGCUUCUCUUGAAAWGACGGCCUCGCCUGCCAAGGCUUGUACCUAGCGGUUGAGGCCAUGUCAAAGAGGAAUGC